rnacentral:rRNA from 1 species
GACGAACGCUGGCGGCGUGCUUAACACAUGCAAGUCGAACGAAAGGACGGGAAGAGCUUGCUCUUUCCGGAAUUGAGUGGCAAACGGGUGAGUAACACGUAAACAACCUGCCUUCAGGAUGGGGGACAACAGACGGAAACGACUGCUAAUACCGAAUAAGUUCCAAGAGCCGCAUGGCCCAUGGAAGAAAAGGUGGCCUCUACCUGUAAGCUAUCGCCUGAAGAGGGGUUUGCGUCUGAUUAGCUGGUUGGAGGGGGUAACGGCCCACCAAGGCGACGAUCAGUAGCCGGUCUGAAAGGAUGAACGGCCACACUGGAACUGAGACACGGCCCAGACUCCUACGGGAGGCAGCAGUGGGGAAUAUUGCACAAUGGGGGAAACCCUGAUGCAGCGACGCCGCGUGGAGGAAGAAGGGUCUUCGGAUUGUAAACUCCUAGUUGUUGAGGAAGAUAAUGACGGUACU